AAAUAAAUCUAGGGCAUACUACUGUAAAUCCUGAGAAAUUCUAUUUAACUCAACACAAUCCAGAAUGAUAGUAUAGUCAAUUGUGAUGUGAAGAUCUCAUAUAAUAAAAUAGAAUUGAUAAUCACUACGAAAUCUGUGUCUGUAUGAUGUCAUAAUCAGCCCACCAAUUUCUUCUCUUUCCCCUCCAUGAAACACAACAUCUGGUCAAGCCUUGUUUGUCUCAAAACUAAGAAAGACAACACUAUAAACAAGCUGGAGACAACAUGAUGGAGGAGACAACUGGAAAGGUAAAAGUGUGAGAACUCAUCGGUCGGGAUACAGAAAAUUUACCAGGGGCAUUGAAAUCAGGACAGCUGUAUUAAUGUACAUCAGCAGAUUUGGUCCUGAGGAUGUGUAAGUGUAAAAAUUGGGAUGGAUGGCUACAACAACUGCUGGAAUUUGUAUCAGUAUUUGUUGUUCAUGGCCUCAAAAAUGAACUUAUAAUUCAGUGUUUCCCCAUCCCAUAUAUGAUUAUUGUUUGUCCAUUAUGAAAAAAUAAUAUUACUGUAAAUUCUAGUAAAUAAUUCAAAUUAUUCAAAGAAGUCCUUCACAUUCAAUUUUUCUCUUUGGUGUAUAAUAAUGAUACUUUUCACUGACAAUCCCACAUUGUUUUCCUUGCCUCAUUUAGA